GUUGGUGAGUGAUUGAAGCUACUAGAUGACCUGGUCGAACCUAACACUAACUUCAAAUCAGUUUUACAAUGGCAACUUCUUGUUACCAGAUCAUGCUGGCAGCUUCAACCUCUCAAACC
rnacentral:pre_miRNA from 1 species